CGGCGAGAUCAGUCGACACCAGGUUCUGGCCGGAAAGCAAUCGGCACAAAGCCGCAAGCUUGUGCUACGAACGCGCUCUCGCCGGAAAAGUCGGUUAUGAUGGUCGUCCCCGCGGCGGCAUCUCCGAAUCUUUACUUGCUCGACCUCGUGAAAACCGGCCGCAGGUUCAUCGACCGUGGCCUCGUUCUCGCGGACGGCCAGGUGGACAACAUCUAUCUCCCUGUCGACACUUUCAAGCUUCUGCGAAUCGAUGACAGUGUUGAGUACAAGAACGUCGGCGACAUCAAGGUGGUCGACAGGAGCCACCUGUAUCCUGGACAGGUGGUUGGGUCGGCAUCCGACAUGGGCGGCCAGAUCGGCGUCGUCACCGGCGUCAACACCAUGCUCAGCCUAGCCAAGCUCGACAACAACGGCGUGCCGGCCAAGGUCAUCAGGGGGGUGUCCCCGUCUAGCCUGCGGCGCGUCAGGAGCAUCAACCUUGGAGACUUUGUCGUGUCCGGGCCGUGGCUCGGCCGUGUCGUCGAGGUGUCGAUCGACGUCGAUGUGUUGUUCGAUGACGGAGCUGUUUGCAGGAUCACCGACGCAGAGUCUACGAACCUGGCGAGAGUGCAUGAAAGCGGCACCAUGGUGACCAUGCAUCGCCGCCAAAUGAACAGUGUAUUGCACCAGGGGCAGCACGUCACCUUGCCAGGCGCUUGUUCACUCUUCAAGGAUGCUCGCUGGCUUAAUGGCUACUGGCAUCCUUACCGACAAGUAGGCACCAUCAUGAAGGUGGAGACGGCCGGCAUCCUCGUCUACUGGGUUGCAUCCAGACAUUGUGGCACCGACAAGGGGCUAGUGGAGGCAUCCGCUCCUCCAGCCUACCAGAACCCAGAUGAUCUUACGUUCUUCUGCGCCUCAUACAAUUGCUGCUGGGGGCUUGCUGACCGUUGUUUUUUUCUAGAAACUAGUUCCACCAAAGAGGAUCAAGCUUGUGCUCCUGAUCAACACGAUGGUGACGAUGAUGAUUAUGAUGAUGAUGAUAAAGAUGAUGAUGAUGAUGAUAAAGAUGAUGAUGAGGCAGAGGAGGACGGGGAGAAGGAAUACAACGCAUGCUCAGAAGACAAUCAAGAGGUGUGUGAUGGAUCAACCUCUCAGGUGGUACCACCCACCGAGCAGAAGGAUGCGGGGUUUUAUCGGAAGCAGCUAAGGAAGGUCGUCUUUGAGGGCCAUAGACGAGCGCAACGGCCACAAGUCAUGAGACAUGUCGAGGUGGAGUUUCCAAUGGUCGUCGCCGACACCUGCACCACCGUCGAUGUGUUGUGGCAGGAUGGCACACGACAACAUGGCAGACGUUCAGCGACCGUCGUUCCCUUUGGGAUCUGGAAUGAGCAAGAGUUCUUCCCGGGACAGCGUGUUGUCGCCAACGUUCUUCCUAUUAGCGCUGCCGUUGAAGCUACUGGUGACCAUGAUGAUGUGACAACUACUAGCGUCAACAAUAACAUUGAUGCGUCCGGAAUUGGACCAACGGAGCGUGUGGGAAUCGUCAAGAGCCUGCAAUACGAGGACCAGACGGUUUGUUUAUCAUGGUUCAAGACGUCAGGGCACCCAGAUGAGGCUAGGGAGGUCGACUGCGACCAAACUGUCAGUGCUUACGACCUAAAAUUGGACUCUAACCACUCUGCUUACUAUGGUGACAUUGUCAUUCGUGUCCUACCAUCGGGAUCAACAGAUGACGGUGAAAGUGCACCCUUGAUAUUGGGAAACAAGAAGAAAAAUGUCGUUCCCGCCGAUCUUUCAUGGGUGGGGCGGGUAGUUGAACUUCCUAGUGGGCACAUCCAAGUCAAGUGGGGUGAUGGUAGCACGUCAACGGUA
rnacentral:rRNA from 1 species